CACGGUGCGUCAGCUCUUUAAGCCCCUUUAAGCAACAACAAAAAAAAAGUCCCCGCGACCAAUGAGAUUAUCUGCAUCCAAGAAUCCCAGCCCCACUCCUGUCUGAUGACUGACAUUUGUUUGACAUCACAGACACUUUCAUCUCCGAUAGCGAUGGCACGCAUGUGUGGAGGCAAACGUGUACAUUUCAUCCCCAUAAAAACCACAGAGGAAUUGUUGCGCCAAGACCUGUGACUCUCGAGGGACCCCUGGCGGUCCCCUGGCCACACUUUGGUCCACCAGCCACCCACGGGUCUGUCUGUACAGAACGGGGCUGCUGGCGCGUCCAUGACGCGAUGGCAUCACAGGUCCCAUAAUCCAGCCCCGCGUCCCGAGGAUGGCGGGAUGUGAUUGCGUGAGUGUUUGUCAAACAACAGAAGUUUUCACUACAGUUCCCAAUAAAGAAAAUAGCGUCCCUGGACAAACCACAUAGGUCAGCCGGCCAACAAAGAGGUCGUUCAGCAGCAGGAGCAGGAGCAGGCCACCAUCGCUCCAGGAGCCACUGUCCCCCAUGUGCUGUUCUCUCAGACCUCUUCUCAGGUGAGGAGAGGGGCUGAGGUGUCAAGUGAUAGCCGUCGGAUGGAGAGAAGUAUCGGAUGGCAGAGCGGUGUGCUGACAGGCCGAGAGUGUGCCGGGAACAUCAGGUGUUAGAACAUUGUUCAGAAUCAGUCUUCACCUCACCCCCGAACACGCUUCAUGAAGUCAGUCCUUAAACACUGUUGUUAAAGCACAUUCAUAUUUGUAUCAACAUUUCAUUUUAUGUAUGAUACGUGCCAGUUAUACAGAACUGUGUGGUCUGUCUCAGUGAAGAUCAGAAAUUCAAAAAUUUCCAAUUUUGCAGGUUUGGUUUAAAAUGUUUGGGAAAUGAGUUAAAAAACCUUUUCAGUGUAUUUCCUUAUCGAGUGUGGUGUGUGGUGAGGUGGCAAACACAUGUUUCUAAUACUGACCUCUGCUGGUUGGUUGCAGAACAACCUAAAACUAAACCUUUAUCUGAAAUUAAAACCUAUUCCUUUUAAAGACACUCUUCGACUCAAAUAUCAAACUCAUAUUGAAACAACAUUGUACUCCUCUCAAAACUGAAUUUCAAAUUAAAAGCCUAAUUUAACAAUAGAUCAUUACAGGAGGGAGUUGCACCCACUAUAUCCAUGAGUCCUUCAUGCUGACAAAGUCCCUGUUCAUGAAAAAGCAAGCAACCCCUGUACAUGGGAACUAUGUAGGUGUAAAAUACCCACAUGUAAGAAUCACAUAAUACACUACAGUUACACACACACACAUACUGUAUAGUGUAGCCUGGUGAGCAGUGAUGAACCAGAGCAAACAGAG